AGUUCACCUUGAGUUUCUUAACAACUCUCUAGAAGGGAUCGAAGCCUGAAAUUGAAGUUUUGACGUCGAAAUCAAGCCUUGCCGGAUUCUGCAAAUUUCGCCGGAUUCUGGAAAUUUUCCGGCCACCUCGACUGUUUUAGGUGAUUGACGGUCUCCCUUGGGUGAGCGAUUUCGGUGUGUAUUGUGUUAAACUGAAGACGCAGCGGGAAUAUCGAGCGGGUAAUCCUGCAGGUCAGGAGAAUCAGGGCGGUGAUCGAGCCGGUUAGAGUAUUUGUUAUAGUUAUACAGCAUUUGUAAUAGUGAGGUGAGUUAAGCUCAUUGAGCCUUAGAAUUUGAUUUGGUGAGAGUGUGUUGUAAUAAUUAACUUGAGGAUUUGAUUUAUUGUAAUAUUGAGAGGUGUGAAGUGUGGUUGUUUUGAGAAAAAAAUUCAGGUUGUAUUUAUGUGAGUUGUAUUAAUUCAUGUUUCGGAUUUGGAUUUGUUAUUCAAAAUCCGGGGCGUGACAGUUUGGUAUCAGAGCGUAAGGUACAUAUUUGGUGAUAAUCAGUACUCCCCGAGUGAUGGCCCGUCUGCAGCGGAUCCCCAUCGUAUACUCUUCGGUACUGGUAUAAUCAUUGGGUAUGUCUUAGUAUGGGGUCUAGACAGCGUGUAUGUCAGUAGGACGGUAGAGUUGUCUUCUAAGUUCGUAUUAGAAUAAGUUUAGUUUCCGCAGGUUGUAAUCUUUGAGGAAUGGAAACCUCCGGAUUUAACUCUGAUGAGUCAGUGAGGAUUGUUUAUGGAAAUGAGUUUCCUUUUGUAUGUAGAAGUGUUUGGUUGAAGGC